CCAUCGCUGAUCUUCAUCAUGUAAGAAACAGUUUAUAAGGAGAUCAGAGAUCACCAAAGACAUGGAUGAAGGAGCAGUAACUCCAAAGGCGUAGCCUCUAUUGCGUGUAUUAUCUAUUUGAUCCUGUACAUCCGAUGACGUCACUUUCACAUCCGUUCCACGCUGGUUUCAAAUCCUGGUGGCCACAGGACGUCUAUGGAGCGGAUGGUGCCACAUCGAUGGACUGACCCUCCAUCCAGCUGGAUACUCACUUGCAUUGUGCAAGUGCAUUUUUAACCUACUAAUAAAUGGAUUGCUAAAACUCUGCACUGAGCUGACGCUUCCUUCUCUUCCCCCUUCUUGUUUCCUACCCAGAGCUGGCUUACUUUAAGGACAGCUGCCCCCAUUGAAAAUGCCAGUCACAUGGCUAAAAUAAAGAUCCCUCCACAUGUAUUAAAACGGUUGGAAUUGAGCUUUAUAUACUUUAUUUCAAUUUUCACUUUGGUUUUCAUGAUUUAGUUUUACAUUUAUAAAUAUUAAAGCCUAAGCAAAAAUCGUUGUAAUUUUUUUUUUUUAAUUGGCUGGAUUUUAUCUGUGAUAUAAUCUACGUAUAAUCAUGAAUAAUAGAAGAAUGGAGCUCAAGCCACAGAAAAUGAUUAAAUGUAUCGUAGACUGCAGUAUUUAUAUUCACAACAAGGUGGCGAUCUAACUUGGAACACACAGACAGGAAGUGAUGUAGGAUAAACACAGGAAGUGAUGUAAGAUACAGACAGGAAGUUAUAUAGGAGUAUAAAUAGGGAGUUCCUGGGAAGAAAUAGUUGAAAGGAAGUAGAGAGAAGACAUUGCUGGAACUGGCUGCAGAGGAGAUUAUCACCUAUCACAGUGCCUCCUCCUCACUGCCGGACAACAAAGGUAACCAGUUGCAAGAAGGUUCUAGAAGUCGCCAACGAGUUUGUUGAUCCGCUGACAGGAGAGGUUCCUAUAAGGUGUCAGGAUGUCACUGUCAAUUUCUC